rnacentral:rRNA from 1 species
AUUGAACGCUGGCGGCAGGCCUAACACAUGCAAGUCGAACGAGUGGCGGACGGGUGAGUAAUGUCUGGGAAACUGCCCGAUGGAGGGGGAUAACUACUGGAAACGGUAGCUAAUACCGCAUCCCAUCGGAUGUGCCCAGAUGGGAUUAGCUAGUAGGUGGGGUAACGGCUCACCUAGGCGACGAUCCCUAUCUGGUCUGAGAGGAUGACCAGCACCACUGGAACUGAGACACGGACCAGACUCCUUCGGGAGGCAGCCGUGGGGAAUAUUGCACAAUGGGCGCAAGCCAGAUGCAGCCAUGCCGCGUGUAUGAAGAAGGCCUUCGGGUAGUAAAGUACGUUCAGCUAGGAGGCGUUACUCGCAGAAGAAGCACCGGCUAACUCCGUGCCAGCAGCCGCGGUAAUAC